rnacentral:rRNA from 1 species
GGAUUGAACGCCGGCGGCAGGCCUAACACAUGCAAGUCGAGCGGUAGAGAGGUGCUUGCACCUCUUGAGAGCGGCGGACGGGUGAGUAAUGCCUAGGAAUCUGCCUAGUGGUGGGGGAUAACGUUCGGAAACGGACGCUAAUACCGCAUACGUCCUACGGGAGAAAGCGGGGGACCUUCGGGCCUCGCGCCAUUAGAUGAGCCUAGGUCGGAUUAGCUAGUUGGUGAGGUAAUGGCUCACCAAGGCGACGAUCCGUAACUGGUCUGAGAGGAUGAUCAGUCACACUGGAACUGAGACACGGUCCAGACUCCUACGGGAGGCAGCAGUGGGGAAUAUUGGACAAUGGGCGAAAAGCCUGAUCCAGCCAUGCCGCGUGUGUGAAGAAGGUCUUCGGAUUGUAAAGCGCUUUAAGUUGGAGGAAGGUUGUAACUUAAUACGUUGCAACUUUGACGUUACCGACAGAAUAAAGCAACCGGCUAACUUACGCGCCAAGUAGCCGCGGUAA